GCUCGGAUGGUGAAAUUGGUAGACACAAGGGACUUAAAAUCCCUCGCCGAAAGGUGUGCGGGUUCAAGUCCCGCUCCGAGCACCA
rnacentral:tRNA from 2 species